rnacentral:rRNA from 1 species
GAUCCUGGCUCAGAAUCAACGCUGGCGGCGUGCCUAACACAUGCAAGUCGAACGCGAAAGCCCCGCAAGGGGUAAGUAGAGUGGCAAACGGGUGAGUAACACGUGGGUGACCUGCCUUCGAGUGGGGGAUAACGUCCCGAAAGGGACGCUAAUACCGCAUGACAUCCUGCUCUUGGACGAGCGGAGAUCAAAGCUGGGGAUCGCAAGACCUGGCGCUUGAAGAGGGGCCCGCGCCUGAUUAGCUAGUUGGUGAGGUAACGGCUCACCAAGGCGACGAUCAGUAUCCGGCCUGAGAGGGCGGACGGACACACUGGGACUGAGACACGGCCCAGACUCCUACGGGAGGCAGCAGUGGGGAAUUGUUCGCAAUGGGCGCAAGCCUGACGACGCAACGCCGCGUGGAGGAUGAAGAUCUUCGGGUCGUAAACUCCUGUCGAGCGGGAAGAACGUUUCGCGGAUGAAUAAGCCGCGGAAGUGACGGUACCGCUAAAGGAAGCCCCGGCUAACUCCGUGCCAGCAGCCGCGGUAAUACGGGGGGGGCAAGCGUUGUUCAGAAUUACUGGGCGUAAAGGGCUCGUAGGUGGCCAACUAAGUCAGACGUGAAAUCCCCAGGCUUAACCUGGGAACUGCGUCUGAUACUGGAUGGCUUGAAUUCGGGAGAGGGAUGCAGAAUUCCAGGUGUAGCGGUGA